AGAAAUGUACAGCAAACUUACAUUCAACUAGUUACCGAAACUUUUUUUGAGACUUUCACCUUUUUGUAAAUAAUUAUGUAAAAGAAAUAUGCAAAUGGAGACUUGUGAUAGUUUUCCAUAUUGAUUCAUAUGGUCCUAUCAUGAAAUUGUGCUUCUCUAAAUAAGAUGUGAGACCUAGUAAGACAUUUGUCUAGAACAGAAAGCUGUCCUAUGUAGGUGUCAAAUAUAUUUUAUUUGAUUGUGUCUGUUCUGAUAGUAAAUUUAGCAUUAAAAUUACUUAUUUAGAAUAGAGAGUUUUGCAGGGAGUUAAGGAAAUGUUAAUUCUCCACAUCUUAGUAAAGUAUCUGAAGCUAUUUUUGGUUUCAUUUUCUUAAAAGUUAAGGCCUUUCCUGUCAGUGGAAGCUCUGUAACUGCCAAAACUAAACUAAAAGUCAAAUAAUUAGGCCCUCAACAUAAUGCAGCAUUUUCUGUUUCUGUGUAUGGAGUUAACAUUGCUUUUAAUGUAAGAGUACACAUCGUGGCAGUUAGUGUGGAAAACAACUUUCAGUCUUCCACUCAAAAAUCGUGUUUGCUAUCUCCUGUGUUUGAGAGAAGAAGCUCUAGAACUUUCUUGAAAGCAGUGAUUUGCUGGACUGUACAUGCACAGUGUAUGCUUACAAUCUCAGUGUAUCGUGUAGCUAAUUGGCAACAAGUUGUAAUGUGUUGCUUUCUAUUUUUGUGGGUUUGUUUUUAACUAAUUUAUAUAAACGAGUGAAAGUUUUUACUAGCUGCUUAUUUUUGAGUAUCUUUAAUUUAGCUUAUCCUUUAAAUUUUCAGAAUAAACUGUAUUAAAAUAAAACAUCUAGUCGAGUUCAAAUAAGAUUAUUUUUCUUAAAAUAAAUUUUAGAACGCAUUUUAAAAUAGGUCCAUACUUAUUGUGUGAUUCUGAGAUAUUCUUUGUUGUCUUAGCUAUUGGCCAAAAUCAGAUUUUUCAGAGUGAACAAGAAUAUGAAAAAAAUACUCUCAGAUACUGAAAGUUGUAAAUUAUCCCUGCCUAAUUGAAUUCAGCUUUAUUUACUGCAAUUUUAAUUGUGUCCCUUUUUGAGGCUCUGGUUUGGACAGUAAUUUAGGACAUGUCUGCAGCACACUUACAGGACUGCUUGCAGCCUAUGUAGGCAUCAUCUGAGAUGAUUCUAUUAACUGCAAAACACUAUUGCAACACUACAGUACAACCUGCUGUGUUUUCCAGGCAGCCUGUGUCAAUUCAGAGCUGGCAAGUUCACAAUGCAGUUGUUGCAUUCCUGGCUUAUGUGUAGGUCUGACCAUGUCAGCGGUGAUUUAUAGGCAUGAUCACAUGGCCUGUUUAGUUCAGUGUGUAGGAUUUCAUUUACUGUUGAAGAAGCAAGGGUGUAGACUCAGCAGAGUAUUGAGGCUGCAAGAAUCUCUGAAGGUAUUGACACCUCAUCCAAUCUCCUACACAAAGCAGAGGAAACCUCAAAGUCAAACCCAGCUGCUCAGGGAGAUGGAAUUUGUGCUGGGACCACCUGAGUUAUUCUUGAGAUACCCUUACAGAAAGAGUAAUUCUUCAGAAGUGUGAGAAAAAGGGUAGAAAGACAUGGAUACAGUGGAUGCAGCAUUUUCAGCGUGUUUCCUCUGUUCUUCACUACUUUUCUGCAACUAUGCACUGAAAUCCAUAUUUUUGUGUACUUAUACUGUAAUUGUGGUCAACCCAGAAAACCUGAUGGUUUUCACUCCAGAAAUGUAUGAUGAGGGCUUGGGGUUGGGUUUUUGUUUUGGUUUUUUUGCUUGUUUGUUUUUUUUGUUGUUGUUGGGGUUUUGGGGGGUUGGAUUUUUUGGUUUGGAUUUUUUUGGGGGGUAGUUUGGUUUUGGUUUUGUGGUUGGUUUGUGGUUUUUUUUUUUUUUUAAAAAAGCUUUUUUUUAUUUUAAAAGUUGAAGUAGUUUUUAGGCUUGACCAAAAAGUGGUAAAAGCACUAUAGUAACCCAGGGAAGUAUCAUUGCAAUAAUACGUGCUGCUUGCCAAGGUUCACAUGGGGAAGAAGAUUUGAUUUUGUAUUGAAGUGCAGUGGAAGAUUAAUGUUAGAAAUGUAUCGGUGCCUAAUAUAUACAUUAGACCUGUAAUGGGCACUGAUGCAUCCUGUUGGGAUGCCUGAUUAGUCCAUCCUGCUUGUUGCCUUGCUACCCAGAGACAGGCCUCCUUACCCCAGUCUUCCAAACUACAGAACCAACUCAGAUGUGCCUGGUCAGAAUAGCAGGUUUGAUAUAUUGUCCUUCAGCAUGCAGUGGUUAUGUGUAGCCUCAACAGGUACCCAAGGACAGCUUCAACUACAUCAUUUGCAUGCCUUAUUAUCGCUCUCUUAUGUCAUACUUGUUCUCCCUUUCUCUGCCCUAAUCCCCUCCUGUAUAAACAACCUGCCUUUAGUUACUUCUACCCCACUGGGCCUAGCUUUGCUAAAUCCAUACUGCAUCUGGUGUUUCUCAUACUGUUAUACAUGCAAUCUUGCCCUUACAUGCUGUUACUGGUGCAGUUACUAAGUCCUCCUGACUUGGCACCUCCUUAAAAAGUCCCCAAAACUGAUACCUGUGAAGUUCAGGCACUUUGCUCAUUUGGUGAAACACUGGAACAGGUUGCCCAGGGAGGUGGUAGAUGCCCCAUCCCUUGAAACAUUCAAGGUCAGAUUGGAGGGGGCUCUGAGCAACCCGAUCUAGUUGAAGAUGUCCCUGCUCAUUGCUGGGGGCUGGACUAUACGACCUUCAAGGGUCCCUUCCAACCCAAACUGUUCUAUGAUUCUGUGAUUACUUUUAGCACCUGUGAAAUCUGACCAUCCCUCAUAGUGCUGUUAAUAACUUAUGUCAUCUUCUCACAGUGUUACUAGUCUCAUCAAGUGAUUUUCUCAAGUCAUGUGCCAUAGUUUCCCUCACCCUACUGAAUUAGCUUAUCCUCAAGCCAGAGCCAUCUGCCUGUGACCUUAGCAUGCAGAACAAACCCAAACUUGUUCCUCAAAAAAGGGACAGACCUGUUCUUUUGGCUUGUUUAAGCAUGAAAGAAAUUUCCAGCAAAAAGACAUUUCUAUGGUUUUUUUGAUGUAAGAGAAAGAUAGCAAUUAAAUAUCAGAGAGGAUACCUGGUUUUUUUUUUAAACCACAUCAUAAUAAGCAUUUUUUCUAGUGUUUUGUAAGUGGAACUUGUUAGCAGUCAGAGGAAAAAGCAAAAUAGCAGUGUAUGUUUGCUGAUAUUUACAAUUUUGUUAUAGAAAUGUUCUUGUAUAAUGAACAGAUAAAAUUUGAAUGAAGUUAAAUGUAAAACCAGCUAGCAAUUGGAUAAAGCUUGGUUUUUUUAAUUGAGAUUUUUUUUUUUAAGAGACUGGUCAUCCUAUGAGAGAACAUCAGAACAACAAUUAUAGUGAUGACUUGUUAGGAUCAGAGGAUUUGGAUAUGUGACAUUGAAGCUGACAGAGACUUAAAAAAAAAAAAAAAGUAAUGUUUGCACAUUCUUAGAGUAAUUUAUUUGAAUUUACCUUGUUGUAAGAAUAUACGGGAUCUUUGUGUGGCUAAAAUCACACAUUUUACUUUUUAUUCUUAAUCUUGUGUCUUUAGUAAAUAACUCUGGGUAAACUCAAUCCUGCUUCUUUGAACUAUGUGUUCUGUUUAUCGUUGUUAGUUUCUUGCUUGCGAGAACAUGUGAUCUGUCUAGAUGGGAGAGGGGUUGCUCCCACAACAAUGCUGGUACUCUGCAAAUAGUAUAUAUAAAAAUAUACCAGUGGAAUCAAUGUUGACAAGCAGUUGAGUCUGUUCCAAACCUGGAUGCAAUAUCAGGAUCGCAAAAGAAAAGCUGGGUUCAGUUUUUAUUUUCUUACCUUGGGAAAAUGGGCACUGCUGCCAACUUUUCCUUUUCUUGUCCAAACCAACCAACAGUCCCCUAAAUGAUCAGACAUAAGUGAUGGUGCCAGUUUAAAUGCUUUGUGACCAAGAAAGACACAUACAAGCAUUUAUUGUUACAGAAGAGAUGAUGUUUCUGCAGUUGUUCAGAGGACUGGAAAAGAAAAAAA